GGAGCCUUUCACCAGAGGGAUAACAGUGAAAUGUUUGAAAAGGCCCCUUCCCAGCUGAAAUCGGGUGGAACAAAGACUGGGCCAUCUCUGAGAGAGACUGGCAUUUAUGUUUAAUUGAAUGGUUGGCCCCAGCUGAGACCCCAACAAAGGGGUAUACUCUGGCAUAGAGGCCAAAAAGAAAGGGUGAGGCUCAGUCAGAGAAGGGAGAGUUUGGACAAAGCCUCCAUGCUUCUGAGGUGAGAAAGAAAAGAAAACUGGAAGGCAUUUGUCUGGCUGAGGUAUAUAAUUAGCUUAAUAUUUCAGCUAUUUUAUAUAUUCAUUUUCAAAAUACAG